GCCUGCUGGCGGACGCGGGCCUUGGCAUCAUCCCCGCUGGACCCCUGCAGCGUAGCACCCCGGCCACUGGCCUCCGCACGGCCCCAGCCCGGCCGCAUGAAAGCGGGGUCGCCCCUGGGCUGGAAGUGUGCGAGUCCUGCCGGCGGACUGAGGGGGACAGCGACGCCCUGGUGAGGCGUGGCCCGAUCCCCGGGGCUAAGGCUCUGGUACCAUGAGGAUGCCAUAGUUACAACCAUUUUACUUUCCACAUAAAACCAAAGGAAAAUCAAGAUCAGCUGGCAGUUAUGUUUGAUUAGAAACUUACAAAAGAAGUGAGACCAGUAAAGCAGUGUGGGUACAGUGAAACCUGAAUUGACUGGUCUUUGGAUACUACUAUCAAUGUCAAAUAAUGGAAAACCAGGAAGUGAUACAGCAUCCUAUCCUCGGGAAGUGGUUUUCCAGCCAUUCUUGACUGAGGAGGAAUGUAAUGAGUAGGAUGAGCCAAGAUCACAUGAAAAAGCAAUAUGCAAACGAUAUGGGGCUCCUAUUAUGGAAGCACUGCAAACUUAUUUAGCCAAGCAUGAUUCUGAAGCCUUUAAGGGGAGGACUUUAUUUUUUUUUCUUUGUUUAAGGAUUGGCAAAGCAACCUAAUUAUUUAAUUGCAUGCAAACAACUUCCCUGUUCUUAUAUUUACUAAGAGUUAGCAUGAAUGAUUAUGCAAAACAAAUCUGUCAUUAGUUGCUCUCUAUUUGCAUUGUGCCUGUUAAUAUGCUGUUGUUCAGACUAUGGCAGGGUAUAAUAAGCAAUUCUACUUCUGAAAUAAAAAUUCUA